GGUCUGAUGGGAACUAAAGGCGAACCAGGAAUUCAGGGUCCUCGUGGACCUGCAGGACAAGUUGGAGUGCAAGGAAUUAUGGUGAGAAAUGCUUUUAUUACUUUAAAUCCCAAAACUUGGAACAAGGUGAAAAUAUCAAAAUAUUUAUAUGUAAGAAUAAUUUUAUAUAAAGAAUACUUAAAUACCUUGAAUAUCCUUAUAUUCAUAUAUGUUUUUGUGUCUUAAUCUGAAAGGGACCUCCAGGCCCACAAGGCAGACCAGGACCCCCUGGACCCCCUGGAGAACCGGUUCGUAACAUGUUUUUUUUUUUUACUAACAUGCUGAUAUUGCCUUUUUCUGGACAUUCCUAGAAACAUAAAGUUAAUAUCCAGGUACACUUAAUAUGUUUGUUUUUGAUCUACUAAUGAAAAUAGUUGAAUCACAAUAAUGACACAGCACUCCAUGGGGAAUAAAAUAAAUAUUUGUUUGUACUGCGUCUCAUUUUCUAAUGUUGUAUCUAAUGCUGCUCUAAAUCAUGUUCUUUUUCAGACAGCACUACCUAUUGUUGGAGACAUGGGGACAUUAUUGAAGAACGCCUGCAGUGUGUGUCAGACCAGAGUACCAGGAUUGCCAGGGCAGAAAGGAGAAAAAGGUUCCCUUGGAACUCCAGGUAUCCCAGGAAUGGAUGGAGAAAAGGGGGAUCAGGGUCUUCGGGGCCCAGCUGGUAAUCCUGGAAAAGAGGGUCCGAAGGGAGUGAAGGGUGAGAGAGGCUUUGCUGGUCCGAUGGGGGACAAGGGUGAUGAGGGGUCCCCAGGUGUGCCAGGAUUGCCUGGAUCCACAGGCCGCAUGGGUCCACAGGUGAGAAUUUUCCAACAAAAAUAA
ensembl:lncRNA